rnacentral:rRNA from 1 species
UACGAAGGGGGGCUAGCGUUGCUCGGAAUCACUGGGCGUAAAGGGCGCGUAGGCGGCCGAUUAAGUCGGGGGUGAAAUCCUGGAGCUCAACUCCAGAACUGCCUUCGAUACUGGCGAUCUUGAGUCCGGAAGAGGUGAGUGGAACUCCUAGUGUAGAGGUGGAAUUCGUAGAUAUUAGGAAGAACACCAGUGGCGAAGGCGGCUCACUGGUCCGGUACUGACGCUGAGGUGCGAAAAGCGUGGGGAGCAAACAGG